AGCUCCAAUAGCGUAUAUUAAAGUUGUUGCAGUUAAAAAGCUCGUAGUUGGAUUUCUGGUAGGAGCGACCGUGCCGAACUUGAUUGUUCGAGUAUUGUGUUGUCUUCAGCCAUCCUCGUGGAGAACUUUUCUAACAUUAACUUGUUGGGAUUGGGACCCGCGUCGUUUACUGUGAAAAAAUUAGAGUGUUUAAAGCAGGCAUUAGCUUGAAUACAUUAGCAUGGAAUAAUAAGAUAGGACUUUGGUACUAUUUUGUUGGUUUGCAUACCAAAUUAAUGAUCAACAGGAACAGUUUGAGGAUAUUCGUAUGAACAUGUCAGAGGUGAAAUUCUUGGAUUUUGAUCAGACGAACUACUGCGAAAGCAUUUAUCAAGGAUGUUUUCAUUA
rnacentral:rRNA from 1 species